UAACAUAUAAAUGAUAUACAUAAUGAGAUGGAUAAACAGGGGGACAAAACAAGAUCAAAUACAACAUCUCAACAAUCAGGUUGAGCAAAUAGAAUCAAACAAUAAAGAUAUUAAAGUGCUGUAAUAAAUACAACCUUUGUGAAACUUGUUAAAUCUUUGUUGAUCUGUCAGAGAGGUGGUGACUCGUUGCUCCUUUAGGAAGCUGUAGAUUAUCAUGUUGUUGAUCUGCCUUAUAUUAAAAUAUGAACAGUACAUAAUAUAUAUUUUAAUGUCUU